ACGGGUGAGUAACACGUAGACAACCUGCCUUCGAGCCUGGAAUAACCUUUCGAAAGAAGGGCUAAUACCGGAUAACACGCGGGAUCACCUGAUCCUGUGUUGAAAGGCUUGCUACUCGAAGAGGGGUCUGCGGGACAUUAGCUAGUUGGCGAGGUAACGGCUCACCAAGGCGAUGAUGUCUAGCGGGUCUGAGAGGAUGAUCCGCCACACUGGAACUGAGACACGGUCCAGACUCCUACGGGAGGCAGCAGUGGGGAAUUUUGCGCAAUGGGCGAAAGCCUGACGCAGCAACGCCGCGUGAGUGAAGAAGGCCUUUGGGUCGUAAAGCUCUUUUCCGAGGGACGAGGCUGACGGUACCUCGGGAAUAAGCACCGGCUAACUCCGUGCCAGCAGCCGCGG
rnacentral:rRNA from 1 species